GGUGAACCUGCGGAAGGAUCAUUAUUGAAAUAAAUUUGAUGAGUUGUUGCUGGUUCUCUAGGGAGCAUGUGCACACUUAUCAUUGUAUUUUUUCACCUGUGCACAUUUUGUAGACCUUGGGUAUCUCUCUGAUUGCUAGCUUUUUUAGUUAGCACUUAGGAUUGAGGAUUGACUUUAUGUCUCUUCUUACAUCUCCAGGUCUAUGUUUCUUCAAAUACCCCAAUGUAUGUUUAUAGAAUGUAAUUAUUAGGCCUUUGUGCCUAUAAGUCUAUACAACUUUCAGCAACGGAUCUCUUGGCUCUCGCAUCGAUGAAGAACGCAGCGAAAUGCGAUAAGUAAUGUGAAUUGCAGAAUUCAGUGAAUCAUCGAAUCUUUGAACGCACCUUGCGCUCCUUGGUAUUCCGAGGAGCAUGCCUGUUUGAGUGUCAUUAAUAUAUCAACCUCUUUGGUUGGAUCUGGGUUUGCUGGCCUCAUUGAGAUCACCUCUCCUUAAAUGUAUUAGCAGACAACAUUUUGCCAAACGCUCAUUGGUGUGAUAAUUAUCUACGCUAUUGACGUGAAGCAUGUUUUGCUUAUAACUGUCCAUUGACUUGGACAAAUUUCUAUUUGUUAAUGUGACCUCAAAUCAGGUAGGACUACCCGCUGAACUUAAGCAUAUCAAUAAGCGGAGGAAAAGAAACUAACAAGGAUUCCCCUAGUAACUGCGAGUGAAGCGGGAAAAGCUCAAAUUUAAAAUCUGACAGUCUUUGGCUGUCCGAGUUGUAAUCUAGAGAAGCAUUAUCCGCGCUGGACCGUGUACAAGUCUCCUGGAAUGGAGCGUCAUAGAGGGUGAGAAUCCCGUCUUUGACACGGACUACCAGGGCUUUGUGAUGUGCUCUCAAAGAGUCGAGUUGUUUGGGAAUGCAGCUCAAAAUGGGUGGUAAAUUCCAUCUAAAGCUAAAUAUUGGCGAGAGACCGAUAGCGAACAAGUACCGUGAGGGAAAGAUGAAAAGAACUUUGGAAAGAGAGUUAAACAGUACGUGAAAUUGCUGAAAGGGAAACGCUUGAAGUCAGUCGCAUUUUCCAGGGAUCAACUCUUGCUUUUGCUUGGUGUACUUUCUGGUUAAUGGGUCAGCAUCAAUUUUGACCAUUGGAAAAAGAUCAAGGGAAUGUGGCAUCUCUUAGAUGUGUUAUAGCCCUUGGUUGCAUACAUUGGUUGGGAUUGAGGAACUCAGCACGCCGCAAGGCCGAGUCUUUACUACGUACGUGCUUAGGAUGCUGGCAUAAUGGCUUUAAUCGACC
rnacentral:rRNA from 1 species